UUUAUAACUCAGUCGCAUAUAACCUUUUUUCCCAAAAUUGGAUUUUUAAAAUGAGCAUUAUAUUGCCAUCUACACCAGACAGAGAAACUAAUUUGUCUAGUACGUAUAGGUUUAUGUAUUAAAUGUGACAAUUAUACACGCCAAUAUUUUUAGCAUCCUGAUGGCAGUUUUAUUUACCAUCAGAAUCCAUAAAAUAGUCAAAUAUAUGGUACUUCUAACUCAGACCCUUUCUAAAAUAUUGUACUUUAGACCCCUUAAAUGUAGAUUUCAGUUCUUUUUCGUCAAGAGAGUUCAGCUGUGUUAUUACAGAGUGAAAAAGAUGUUGGGUGCCUUUCUUCCCCUUUGCUAUCUGGCAUACAGGUAGGUAUAGACCAAGUAUAUGGCACUAUAGGAAACAGCUAUAUUGUUCUCUACUCCUUUUUUUUUUUCUAUGAUUGAACUUUUCCUACAGCAUGAGGCUAACUAGGUGUGGAAUUUCAAUUAGCAGCUGUUAUUUAAAUAUGUAGGGAGUAAGCAUUCUCUGAUCUAAUUUUUGUAUAUGAUAAACAAAUUUUGUACAUUGUUUAGCAUUAU